AGAGUUUGAUCCUGGCUCAGGAUGAACGCUAGCGGCAGGCUUAACACAUGCAAGUCGAGGGGUAUAGUAGCAAUACUAGAGACCGGCGCACGGGUGCGUAACGCGUAUGCAAUCUACCUUUUACAGAGGGAUAGCCCAGAGAAAUUUGGAUUAAUACCUCAUAGUAUUAUAGUAUGGCAUCAUAUUACAAUUAAAGUCACAACGGCAAAAGAUGAGCAUGCGUCCCAUUAGUUAGUUGGUAAGGUAACGGCUUACCAAGACAACGAUGGGUAGGGGUCCUGAGAGGGAGAUCCCCCACACUGGUACUGAGACACGGACCAGACUCCUACGGGAGGCAGCAGUGAGGAAUAUUGGACAAUGGGCGCAAGCCUGAUCCAGCCAUGCCGCGUGCAGGAUGACGGUCCUAUGGAUUGUAAACUGCUUUUGUACGAGAAGAAACACUCCGACGUGUCGGAGCUUGACGGUAUCGUAAGAAUAAGGAUCGGCUAACUCCGUGCCAGCAGCCGCGGUAAUACGGAGGAUCCAAGCGUUAUCCGGAAUCAUUGGGUUUAAAGGGUCCGUAGGCGGUCUUGUAAGUCAGUGGUGAAAGCCCAUCGCUCAACGGUGGAACGGCCAUUGAUACUGCCAGACUUGAAUUAUUAGGAAGUAACUAGAAUAUGUAGUGUAGCGGUGAAAUGCUUAGAGAUUACAUGGAAUACCAAUUGCGAAGGCAGGUUACUACUAAUGGAUUGACGCUGAUGGACGAAAGCGUGGGUAGCGAACAGGAUUAGAUACCCUGGUAGUCCACGCCGUAAACGAUGGAUACUAGCUGUUGGGAGCAAUCUCAGUGGCUAAGCGAAAGUGAUAAGUAUCCCACCUGGGGAGUACGUUCGCAAGAAUGAAACUCAAAGGAAUUGACGGGGGCCCGCACAAGCGGUGGAGCAUGUGGUUUAA
rnacentral:rRNA from 1 species